rnacentral:tRNA from 1 species
GGGUGUACAGCUCAGAGGUAGAGUGUGUGCCUGGCGUGCAUGAGGUCCUGGGUUCAAUCCCCAGUGCCUGCA